GUACAUUUUGAGGUCAUACAAAGGGACAGUUCUGUGAACUGUUCAACAAUUCUUGCACUGCUUCUUUUAAGUGAACAAUAGCUCUGAUCCUUAAGCUACAUCCAAUUGUUUUGUUAGUGCCAAGGAAGCUUCUCUGGGUUUCCAUGAAGAAAAAUGCCAGCAGUGUCAUAAAGCAGCUCAGAUGUGCCUAACGCGUACUGACAGAACAAAGAAGCUUUAAACUCUGCAUGAUAAUGAAAAUGUGUUGUAUUUAAAUAAAAUCUCUCUAUGAUG